CGAGCGGGGCGUGAGGGGCGCGGCAGUCCCGGGCGGGAUCCGCCCCUGGGGCGGCUCCGUGUCACCGGCACUGCCGCAACAGCGAGAUUUGCUACUCGCGCUUGCUUGGCUGUGCGUGCGGUGCUGUUUUUAAUGCCUUCUACGGGCAGAUUUACGUGUUGUAAAUAGCUAUAGGGAAGGAGCGAACGCCACCGAGGUCACAGCAACGGUGUUUUUGCCUCUUGUGUGAUCUGUGCUCUUCGCAGCCGGGUCCUGCCGUAGGAAGAGCUCGGCAUAAAUUAUAGUGGAAGGGUUUUGUCGCUUCUAAGAGGUUGGCUGAUGUUCAGAAGAGCGUCUUGCUGUGAGACGGGCAGAGUUUGCCUUGACACGGAGAUUUCCUGAAGAGCCACUGUUCAUGACUACAUUUUUACUUGGAGUACAAAUAGAAUAAAAACAACCUUGUUUUGUAAGGCUAAGGGAUUAGAUUGAACAUCAAAAUUGCAUUUUUUAAGAGUCUGGUGGACUGUAGAAACCAAUUUCAGUCAGAGGUCACUCAUUUGGAAAUGGUACGGUAAGGAAAACAGCUUUUUCAGAGCAGUUUCCAGAAGGCAGACACCUCACUGCUGGGUAGCAAAGAGAACUGUGCAUCUGUUCAACCUGAGAAAUCACUUCACCCCAGAAUCCUGAGGUAAGGUCAGAGUACCUGAAGAAUCCUUCA
rnacentral:lncRNA from 1 species